rnacentral:rRNA from 1 species
GAGCACGUAGGUGGGUUUGUAAGUCAGGUGUGAAAGCCUUCUGUUCAAAGGAAGAACGGCAUCUGAAACUGCGAAUCUUGAGUGUAGGAGGGGAGAGUGGAACUUCUGGUGGAGCGGUGAAAUGCGUAGAUAUCAGAAGGAACGUCGGCGGCGAAAGCGACUCUCUGGCCUAUUACUGACACUGAGUGUGCGAAAGUUAGGGGAGCAGACGGGAUUAGAUACCCCGGUAGUCCUAACCGUAAACGGUGGGCACUAAGUAGAGGG